rnacentral:rRNA from 1 species
GUGUCAGCCGCCGCGGUAAUACGUAGGGUGCGAGCGUUGUCCGGAAUUAUUGGGCGUAAAGAGCUCGUAGGCGGCUUGUCGCGUCGGAUGUGAAAGCCCGGGGCUUAACUUCGGGUCUGCAUUCGAUACGGGCAGGCUAGAGUUCGGUAGGGGAGAUCGGAAUUCCUGGUGUAGCGGUGAAAUGCGCAGAUAUCAGGAGGAACACCGGUGGCGAAGGCGGAUCUCUGGGCCGAUACUGACGCUGAGGAGCGAAAGCGUGGGGAGCGAACAGGAUUAGAAACCCCGGUAGUCC